rnacentral:rRNA from 1 species
AACGAACGCUGGCGGCAUGCCUAAUACAUGCAAGUCGAACGAGGAAGUCACUUCGGUGGCGAGUAGAGUGGCGCACGGGUGAGUAACACGUAGGUGACCUACCUUUAGUGGGGGAUAACAGAGAGAAAUUUCUGCUAAUACCGCAUAAGCUCAACAAUUUUGGAAGUAGUUGAGGGAAGGCAGCUUCGGCUGUCGCUGAAAGAUGGGCCUGCGGGCCAUUAGCUUGUUGGUGGGGUAAAGGCCUACCAAGGCGACGAUGGCUAGCCGGUCUGAGAGGACGAUCGGCCACACUGGAACUGAGACACGGUCCAG